CGGACUGGCGCAAUGCUCAGAGCUCGUGUGGCAGCUGCGAGGAGAAGCAGGAGUUAGACAGGUGCCCGGUGCACGUAUCGCCUUGCAGCACAACCUGGGCGUUGGAGGCGCUGUCGUCAUCACCAUGUACAAGAAGGGAUUC